UGCCUGUUGGUUGUCACAUGGGACCAUCUCUCUGACAUUUAGCAGUCUGCUGCCUGCCUGACUGUUGUCUGCUUGGGCCUGGAAAGGAUUCCAAGCUCCCCUGCCUGGAGUGGUGUGAUGAAUUCCCUCUUAGCCUACUGAGUACAUUUGAGUGAAGGGUCCAUCUGUUGAGUUGCUGGAGCAAUGUAAUAAAGAGCAGCUGAAGAAGAUUGCUCAGCAUUACUCUAUUAAUGUUGACCUCAAGCGCACAAAGGAGGCCCUGAAGUGUGUCAUUAUGGCCAACUUGACGGAAGAGAAAGUGUUGGGGGACGAGGGAGGUUGUGGUGGGACCUUGUUCUUGAGAAGGGGGUGUGAUGGCCCCUAGGCCUAUUAAGUCCCUUUGAUUGCUGGGAUCUGGGCUAAUGAGGACUGAUGAUUGACACCUGGAUCAACUGAUUGCUCACAUGUCUAUAAAUAGGAGUGCUUAGGCAGUCAUUAUCUCUCCCUCUUCAAGGUUGCUUGGUUUGUUUGGAUUUUGGAUUUAGUUUGUUUUGCGUUCUAGCUUUGAUACAUCUACAGACAUCCAUACAUUACACACAUUACUGAUUAACUGAUUUCAUGUUUAUCUUUGUUAAUUUAAAUAGAUUUGAUUUAAGUGAACAAACAUGUGUGUCUCCACCUUUUGUCAUGCCUUUGAGCCAGGUCAUGACAACCCUCUUGAAGCAAAUUGUUUCAAAAAGUUCCAGUGCAGGGUAAGAAAUUAAUAAUUAUUUGAUUUAAUAGUUUGUAGGGACGUGUUUGGGAGGGGAGAAGGAGGUGUAGUAUUUUGUGUGUUGUGUAAAAUGUUCUAAAUAACAAGAUGGUCUAAGUAAAUGGGAUAAAUAGGUUAGGAAUAAUUUUUAUAACUAAAAUAAUUUUUUGUUUUUGCAGUACUGAAAAAAGUACCGUUUGGUAUCGGAACCGCAUUUGACAUUAUGCAAAAAAAAGUGAAUGGUACCCAAACCUGUAGGUCAUGACCUUCCCUCCCCCACCCCGAUUUCCACCUAUGAGUGGAAAGAUCAGGACCACUGACGUAUUUUCAAACUUGUAAAAAUUGCGGACGAGGAAGCUUCAGUGGUUGCAAUUGAAACGGCAAACACCGAACUAUACAAAUGUAAUUUAUACAUAUUUUUUUUAAAUAAGGACACUGUA